AUUUUUGCAGAGAUUUUCCCUGGUCAAGAGUGCAACAUGAGUCUUGGAUAUGAACUUUACUGUCAGAUGUACAUUGAUUGAAAAGUGAACAAGAUAUCUGCACUGAGAAUGAAUGAAGUUGAAGAAAGUUGAAAGGCACCCCAGAAGAACCUGAAUUAUUUUAGCCCUAUCCUAGAUUCAUUU